GUUUGAUCCUGGCUCAGGAUGAACGCUAGCUACAGGCUUAACACAUGCAAGUCGAGGGGUAGCAGGGUAGCAAUACCGCUGACGACCGGCGCACGGGUGAGUAACACGUAUCCAACCUACCAUUCACACGGGGAUAGCCUUUCGAAAGAAAGAUUAAUACCCGAUAGUAUAACGAUAAGGCAUCUUAUUGUUAUUAAAGAAUUUCGGUGUUUGAUGGGGAUGCGUUCCAUUAGAUUGUUGGUGAGGUAACGGCUCACCAAGUCUUCGAUGGAUAGGGGUUCUGAGAGGAAGGUUCCCCACAUUGGAACUGAGACACGGUCCAAACUCCUACGGGAGGCAGCAGUGAGGAAUAUUGGUCAAUGGACGAAAGUCUGAACCAGCCAAGUAGCGUGAAGGAUGAAGGCCCUAUGGGUCGUAAACUUCUUUUAUAGGGGAAUAAAGUGCGGAACGUGUUCCGCUUUGUAUGUACCCUACGAAUAAGGAUCGGCUAACUCCGUGCCAGCAGCCGCGGUAAUACGGAGGAUCCGAGCGUUAUCCGGAUUUAUUGGGUUUAAAGGGAGCGUAGGUGGAUAUAUAAGUCAGUUGUGAAAGUUUGCGGCUCAACCGUAAAAUUGCAGUUGAUACUGUAUAUCUUGAGUGUACAAGAGGUAGGCGGAAUUCGUGGUGUCG
rnacentral:rRNA from 1 species